AUUGAACGCUGGCGGCAUGCCUUACACAUGCAAGUCGAACGGCAGCACGGGAGCAAUCCUGGUGGCGAGUGGCGAACGGGUGAGUAAUGUAUCGGAACGUGCCCAGUCGUGGGGGAUAACGUAGCGAAAGCUACGCUAAUACCGCAUACGAUCUAUGGAUGAAAGCGGGGGAUCGCAAGACCUCGCGCGAUUGGAGCGGCCGAUAUCAGAUUAGGUAGUUGGUGGGGUAAAGGCCCCCCAAGCCUGCGAUCUGUAGCUGGUCUGAGAGGAGGACCAGCCACACUGGAACUGAGACACGGUCCAGACUCGUACGGGAGACAGCAGUGGGGAAUUUUGGACAAGGGGCGCAAGCCGGAUCCAGCAAUGCCGCGUGCAGGAUGAAGGCCUUCGGGUUGUAAACUGCUUUUGUACGGAACGAAACGGCUUUUUCUAAUACAGAGAGCUAAUGACGGUACCGUAAGAAUAAGCACCGGCUAACUACGUGCCAGCCGCCGCUGUAA
rnacentral:rRNA from 1 species